ACAAGCGGAGGAACAUGUGGCUUAAUUCGAUGAUACGCGAGGAACCUUACCUGGGCUUAAAUGGGGAGUGACAGCUGUCGAAAGAUGGUUUUCUUCGGACACUCGUUCAAGGUGCUGCAUGGUUGUCGUCAGCUCGUGCCGUGAGGUGUCGGGUUAAGUCCCAUAACGAGCGCAACCCUUACCGUUAGUUACCAUCAGGUUAAGCUGGGGACUCUAGCGGGACUGCCACCGUAAGGUGAGAGGAAGGUGGGGAUGACGUCAAAUCAGCACGGCCCUUAUGUCCAGGGCUACACACGUGUUACAAUGGCCGGUACAAAGGGCAGCUACUUCGCGAGAAGAUGCUAAUCUCGAAAGCCGGUCUCAGUUCGGAUCGAAGUCUGCAACCCGACUUCGUGAAGCUGGAUUCGCUAGUAAUCGCGCAUCAGCCAUGGCGCGGUGAAUACGUUCCCGGGCCUU
rnacentral:rRNA from 1 species